AUGCAGAUGGAUAGACGUUGGAUUCGUGGUACACUGUUCUGUCGUGAGUACAUUAAUGGUGUCAAAGAGUUUAUGAACCUCAUUCAAGAGAAAUUUAGUGAGGAUGAUAAAAUACUCUGCCCAUGUAGAGAAUGCCUUAAUCACAAAUACUGGCAUCAGGCCGUUGUGAACAAGCACAUAUUGACAAAUGGCAUGGAAACUACAUACACUCGUUGGAUAUAUCACGGAGAAGACUUCGAUGCAGAUGUUAUUGAACAUCCUGUUGAUGUGCAUGAGACCGAGGAUGGUAACAAUGGUGAUGACCGAUUUGAUGAGAUGUUUGGAGACCUAUGCAUAGCAGUACAACAAGGUCAGAAGGAAACUGAAGAUGAAGAUGGUAACAACGAUGCAAACCCUUCUGAGAAUGAGUCUUUUCUGGCGAACGUGAAGAAAGAGGCUAAGCGACACCUUUAUCAUGGUUGUACCAAGUUUUCAAGGUUCUCAUUUGUGGUGAAGCUUCUUCAUUUGAAGUCAUCCCAUAGGAUCACAAAUAGUGCAUUUACUGACAUAUUGAAGCUAUUGGCUGAAGCUUUCCCUCAACCAAAUACACUCCCAAAGUCGUAUGAGGAAGCAAAAAAUCUUCUGAAGGAAUUAGGCCUUGGGUAUGAGUCUAUACAUGUGUGCUUCAAUAACUGCGUUCUGUUCAGAAAGCAAUAUGCCAAGCAUGACAACUGCCCAGUUUGUGGCAUGUCAAGGUGGAAAGACCCUGCUAGAAAGAAGAUUCCACAGAAAGUUUUGAGGCAUUUCCCAUUGGUCCCUAGGCUGAAGAGGAUGUUCCUUUCCAGAAAAAUAGCAGAAGAAGCGCAGUGGCACAAGCUAAAGAGGUAG
rnacentral:rRNA from 1 species